rnacentral:tRNA from 1 species
CAACGGCGUGCCGCGUGGGCGGCGCUGGCCCGCAGCGCCGGCCUCCCGACCGUGGCGGUCGUGUUCGACACCCCAGCCGCUGUC